rfam:Schistosoma mansoni, Puerto Rico, WGS project CABG01000000 data, contig: 0167
AUCCUGCUGACGAAUCCUAAAUAGGACGAAACGCGAGUACUGGAU